rnacentral:misc_RNA from 2 species
AACGCACAUUGCGCCCGCUAGUAUUCUGGCGGGCAUGCCUGUUCGAGCGUCAUUUCAACCAUCAAGCCCCAGGCUUGCGUUGGGUCCCUGCGGCUGUCCGCAGGCCCUGAAAUACAGUGGCGGGCUCGCUAGUCACUCCGAGCGCAGUAAUACAUCUCGCUCAGGGCGUGCGGCGGGUGCCGGCCGUGAAACAACCCCUUCUAAAGUUUGACCUCGGAUCAGGUAGGAAUACCCGCUGAACUUAA